UGAGUUUGAUCGCCGCGGCCUGGACAAUUGAACGGCGCAGGCCCAAUACGGGCAAGUCGAGCGGACAGUACUUCUCGCCUUGCUCCUGCGUUCCAGCGGCGGGGGAGUAUUAGCACAGGAAUCUGCCACCAGUGGGGGAUAACGUCCGGCCGCCGAACGCUAAUGCCGUCGCAUACGUCCCAGGGAAGAGCGGGGAUGGGACCUCGCGCACGGCGAGCCAGGCCUAGGAUUCGCUUGCUGGUGGGGGUAAAGGCCUGCGGGCGACGAUCCGUAACUGGUCUGAGGAUGAUCAGUCACACCGAACCGAGACACGGACCAGACACCUCCUACGGGAGGCAGCAGUGGGAAUUGGUCAAUGGGCGAAAGCCUGAUCCAGCCAUGCCGCGUGUGUGAAGAAGGUCUUCGGAUUGUAAAGCACUUUAAGUUGGGAGAAGGGCAGUAAGCACACCUGCUGUUUUGACGUUACCAACAAGCACCGGCUAACUUCGUGCCAGCAGCCGCGGUAAUACGAAGGGUGCAAGCGUUAAUCGGAAUUACUGGGCGUAAAGCGCGCGUAGGUGGUUCAGCAGAGGUGAAAUCCCCGGGCUCAACCUGGGAACUGCAUCCAAAAACUACUGAGCUAGAGUACGGUAGAGGGUGGUGGAAUUUCGCGGUGAAAUGUAGAUAUAGGAAGAACACCAGUGGCGAAGGCGACCACGACUGAUACUGACACUGGAGGUGAAAGCGGGGAGCAAACAGGAUUAGAUACCCUGGUAGUCCACGCCAAACGAUGUCGACUAGCCGUUGGGAUCCUUGAGAUCAUAGUGGCGCAGCUAACGCGAUAAGUCGACCGCCUGGGAGUACGGCCGCAAGGUUAAACUCAAAUGAAUUGAUGGGGCCCGCACAAGCGGUGGAGCAUGUGGCACCUGAAGCAACGCGAAGAAUUUACCUGGCCUUGACAUGCUGAGAACCGAGAUGGAUUGGUGCCUUCGGGAACUCAGACACAGGUGCUGUGGCUGUCGUCAGCUCGUGUCGUGAUGUUGGGUUAAGUCCCGUAACGAGCGCAACCCUUGUCCUGAAGUUACCAGCACCUCGGUGGCAGCACAGAAGACUGCCGGUGACAAACCGGAGGAAGGUGGGGAUGACGUCAAGUCAUCAUGGCCCUUACGGCCAGGGCUAACACGUGCAAUGGUCGGUACAAAGGUUGCUUGCCGCGAGGUGGAGCUAACCCCAGUGAUCGUAGUGAUCGCUGCAACUCGAUCACGCAAGUCGGAAUCGCUAGUAAUCGUGAAUCAGAAUGUCACGGUGAAUACGUUCCCGGGCCUUGUACACCGCCCGUCACACCAUGGGAGUGGGUUGCUCCAGAAGUAGCCAACCGCAAGGGGACGGCCACGGAGUGAUUCAUGACUGGGUGAAGUCGG
rnacentral:rRNA from 1 species